rnacentral:rRNA from 1 species
UAGGCUCUUUGCUCGCAUGAGUGAAGAAGGAAAGGCGCUAAGGCGUCGCUUGAUGAUGGCCCCGCGGCGCAUUAGCUAGUUGGUGGGGUAACGGCUUACCAAGGCGACGAUGCGUAGCCGACCUGAGAGGGUGACCGGCCACACUGGGACUGAGACACGGCCCAGACUCCUACGGGAGGCAGCAGUAGGGAAUCUUCCGCAAUGGGCGAAAGCCUGACGGAGCAACGCCGUGUGAAUGAAGACGGUCUUCGGAUUGUAAAGUUCUGUCAUUGGGGACGAAGUAGGGAGAGAGGGAAUGCUCUUCUAGAGACGGUACCCAAGGAGGAAGCCCCGGCUAACUACGUGCCAGCAGCCGCGGUAAUACGUAGGGGGCAAGCGUUGUCCGGAAUGACUGGGCGUAAAGCGCGCGCAGGCGGUCUUUUAAGUCUGAGGUGAAAGGCUGGGGCUCAACCCUGGCAUCGCCUUGGAAACGGGAAGACUUGAGGACUGGAGAGGCAAGGGGAAUUCCACGUGUAGCGGUGAAAUGCGUAGAGAUGUGGAGGAAUACCAGUGGCGAAGGCGCCUUGCUGGACAGUGCCUGA